rnacentral:rRNA from 1 species
UUAUAACUUAUUAUUAUAAUAAAUAUUUCGUAUGUUGUAAGAAAAAUAAUUUAAGUGAAAGAAGAGCGAGUAUUAAUUAAGAAAUUUAAAUAAAGAUAAUAGUUAAUAGUAUUGUAAAAGAAUGUUAAAAUAUUAUUAAAUAAUUAAAUAAAAUAAAUUCAAAUGUGCCUUGUGUAUCAUAAAAUAAUAAAUUGAUUUUUAUAUAAAUUAAUCCCGAAAAAGAGGUAGUUAAAUUAUUAAAAAAGUUUUUGUAUUAAUAAAAUUAAUAAUAAUAAUUUAGAGGUGAAAUGUCAGUCGAACUUUUAUAUCUGGUUUUAAAUAAAAUGAAUUUAAUUCAAGCUCUAUUAAUUAAAAUAGGGUUAAAGAGCAAAGGGGUGAGCUUUUUGUUCAAAUUGUAGAAUAAUAUAAAUUAAAAUGAAAAUUUAUUGAAAUUUAGGCUUAUAAGUAGCCAUCUUAAAAAAGUGUUUUAACUAAUACUUAGUAAUAUUUAAUAUUUAAAAUAAUUUUAUUAAAAUAAUUUAAAACUUUUAUAAAUAAUAAUAUAAAGAUUAUUAUGUUAUUAUUAGUAUAAUUUAUAUUAUUUAAAAUUUAUUUUAAUUUUUAAAAAGAUUAUAAAUUAAAUUGAUAUUUAAAAAGAACUCGGCAAAUAUGAUUCUUGCCUGUUUAACAAAAACAUGUCUAUAUGAAGGUGUAUAUAGUUUGGCCUGCUCACUGAUUGUAUUAAAGAGCCGCAGUAUUUUGACUGUGCGAAGGUAGCAUAAUAAAUUGUCUUUUAAAUGGAGGCUUGAAUGAAAGGUUGGACAAAGUGUCAUCUGUUUCUUAAAUAUUUAUUGAAUUUGACUUUCAAGUGAAAAGGCUUGAAUAAAUUAAAAAGACGAUAAGACCCUAUAAAUCUUUACAAUAAACAUAUUUUAUAUUUUUAUUUAUGAAGUGAAUAAAAUAUUAAGUUUGUAGUUGUUUCGCUGGGGCGGCGUAGAUAUAUAAAUGAACUGUCUAUAUUUUAAAUACAAUAAUUAUUGAUUAAUAAAAUUGAUCCUUAAAUAGAUUAAAAGAUUAAGAUACUUUAGGGAUAACAGCGUUAUUUUUUCUGAGAGUUCUUAUCGAAGAAAAAGUUUGCGACCUCGAUGUUGAAUUAAAGUAUCUUUAUGGUGCAGUCGCUAUAAGAGAGAGUCUGUUCGACUUUUAAUACUUUACAUGAUUUGAGUUCAGACCGGCGUGAGCAGGUUGGUUUCUAUCUUUUAUUAAAUAUAAAAUUAUUUUAGUACGAAAGGACCAAAUAAUUAAAAAAUUUUUAUAAUUUAGAAUAUUAAUAAAUCUUCUUAUUUAUUAAUCUGUAAAUUAAUAAUAUUAUAAAAUAGUAAGAGGAAAGCAUUAUAA